rnacentral:rRNA from 1 species
GCUUGCCUAAUACAUGCAAGUCGAGCGAAGUUUUUCUGGUGCUUGCACUAGAAAAACUUAGCGGCGAACGGGUGAGUAACACGUAAAGAACCUGCCUCAUAGACUGGGACAACUAUUGGAAACGAUAGCUAAUACCGGAUAACAGCAUUAACUGCAUGGUUGAUGUUUGAAAGUUGGUUUUGCUAACACUAUGAGAUGGCUUUGCGGUGCAUUAGCUAGUUGGUGGGGUAAAGGCCUACCAAGGCGACGAUGCAUAGCCGACCUGAGAGGGUGAUCGGCCACACUGGGACUGAGACACGGCCCAGACUCCUACGGGAGGCAGCAGUAGGGAAUCUUCCGCAAUGGGCGAAAGCCUGACGGAGCAACGCCGCGUGAGUGAAGAAGGAUUUCGGUUCGUAAAGCUCUGUUGUUAGGGAAGAAUGAUUGUGUAGUAACUAUACACAGUAGAGACGGUACCUAACCAGAAAGCCACGGCUAACUACGUGCCAGCAGCCGCGGUAAUACGUAGGUGGCAAGCGUUGUCCGGAAUUAUUGGGCGUAAAGCGCGCGCAGGUGGUUUAAUAAGUCUGAUGUGAAAGCCCACGGCUCAACCGUGGAGGGUCAUUGGAAACUGUUAAACUUGAGUGCAGGAGAGAAAAGUGGAAUUCCUAGUGUAGCGGUGAAAUGCGUAGAGAUUAGGAGGAACACCAGUGGCGAAGGCGGCUUUUUGGCCUGUAACUGACACUGAGCGCG